rnacentral:rRNA from 1 species
UACGUAGGGGGCUAGCGUUGUCCGGAAUCAUUGGGCGUAAAGCGCGUGUAGGCGGCCCGGUAAGUCCGCUGUGAAAGUCGGGGGCUCAACCCUCGGAUGCCGGUGGAUACUGUCGGGCUCGAGUACGGAAGAGGCGAGUGGAAUUCCUGGUGUAGCGGUGGAAUGCGCAGAUAUCAGGAGGAACACCAAUAGCGAAGGCAGCUCGCUGGGACGGUACUGACGCUGAGGCGCGAAAGCGUGGGGAGCGAACAGG